UAAGGCACGUUGAUGGAAUUGAACCACCAUCCUCCUACUUGUAAAGUAGGUUCUCUUCCAUUGAGCUAGUGCCCU
rnacentral:tRNA from 1 species